GAGUAUUGGACAAUGGGCGCAAGCCUGAUCCAGCAAUGCCGCGUGAGUGAAGAAGGCCUUCGGGUUGUAAAGCUCUUUCGGCGGGGAAGAUAAUGACGGUACCCGCAGAAGCAGCCCCGGCUAACUCCGUGCCAGCAGCCGCGGUAAUACGGAGGGGGCUAGCGUUGUUCGGAAUUACUGGGCGUAAAGCGGACGUAGGCGGAACGGCAAGUUGGGGGUGAAAUCCCGGGGCUUAACCCCGGAAUUGCCUUCAAGACUGCCGAUCUAGAGUCCGGGAGAGGUAAGUGGAAUUCCUAGUGUAGAGGUGAAAUUCGUAGAUAUUAGGAAGAACACCAGUGGCGAAGGCGGCUUACUGGCCCGGUUCUGACGCUGAGGUGCGAAAGCGUGGGUAGCAAACAGG
rnacentral:rRNA from 1 species